rnacentral:lncRNA from 1 species
AUCCGAAUCCGAACUCGAAAAUCAAAUUAAAACUCGUACCCGGACCAGAACCCGGCGGGUUUUAAAAAUCUAUACCCAUAUCCGUACCCGACCAAAAACUCGAAACCCGAACCCGAACCCGGACCCAGCCGGUUUUAAAAAUCUACACCAUUAAAUGAAGAUCUAAGGGAUAAAAAUUAUUAAAUAUUUUAUAUAUUAUAUAAAUAAAUAAAAAUAAAGUAUGUAUAUAUAUAAUUUAUUCGGGUUUGGGUUCGGGUUCAGGUCGUGUUUGGGUUCGGGUCGGGUAAUUACAAAAUCCAUACCCGUAUCCAUAUCCGUCGGGUUUUUAUUUUCUAUACCCAUAACUAAAUUCAUACCCGUUUAGUUCGGAUAAAUCCGCCCCAUUCGAAUUCGGGUUCGGAUAAUAUUUCGAAUAUCCACGUCCAUUGACAUUUCUAGAUGGAUCCCCUCUCAUGGGA